rnacentral:pre_miRNA from 1 species
UUCCUAUGCAUAUACUUCUUUGAGAAUAAAUUCUAAAGAGGCGUAGGGCAUGGGAAAA